AUACACGAAGCUGCAACGUCGCGUAUACAAAGGCUUUCAAAGGGUUUCUUGGCAACCAGAAUGUAGGAGUUUCAAUGGAUGAUCUUGAAGAUUAUGACUCUGAACCAUCUGUGACAUAUGGCCGAGUUUCAAGGAGAAGGAAAAGUCUUGGAAGAAAGAAACCUAAUCAAAGAUAUUGGGAUAAUGAAGAUGAUUGGGAUCUUCCAAUGGACUAUCUUUGAUUCACAUGUUUUGUCUGCUAACUCCCAUGUAAUAAUACUCCUUUUAAUCGAAAAUAUAGUGAAGCUUUAAUAAGCCUACCAAGGAUGACAUAAAAAUACCAUACCAAAUUACCAAUUGUCUUUUUUAUUUUCUAUGGUGUAAAAUAGGCUUGCAUUUGUACAGUUAGUUUCAUAGAUUUUUCUUUUCAGACUUUUUGGUUUUUAAUAUUAUUUAGUUUAGCAUUC